UCAAGCUGGAAAGAGCAUACGGUGGAUGCCUUGGCGCACAGGGCCGACGAAGGACGCGGCAAGCUGCGAAAAGCUACGGGGAGCCGCAAGCAGGCAUAGAUCCGUAGGUAUCCGAAUGGGGCAACCCGGCCCGGCGCUCAACUGAGUGUUCACAUUUUAAAAACGAGCCUGUUUAUCUGGAAAGAGAGCGGGCAAAGGAGAGAACACCGAGUUGAGCGCCGGGUCACCGUGCACCGAACACAUAAGUGCGCGGGGGGCACCCGGCGAACUGAAACAUCUUAGUAGCCGGAGGAAGAGAAAGAAAGAUCGAACCCCCCAGUAGCGGCGAGCGAAGAGGGGCGAGCCCAAACCCAGCACUCAACUGAGAGGUGGGAGAUGAGAGGCGGGGAGUGAGGAUAAAGAGGAGUUUGCGGGAGCGGAUUCCGUCAAGAGUUCUCACGGUCGGCCGUUCAGGCCGUUCACAUUUCAGUUGAGUGCUGGGGGUAGCGGGACUCUCAGCGAGGAGGCGGCCAGAUUUAGCCGAAGCGGUUUGGAAAAGCCCGUCACAGAAGGUAACAGCCCUGUAGGCGAAAGAUGUGGCGUCUUUGAGAGGAUCCCAAGUACCACGGGGCACGGGGAAUCCCGUGGGAAUCCGGGAGGACCACCUCCCAAGGCUAAAUACCCUGGGCGACCGAUAGAGGACAAGUACCGUGAGGGAAAGGUGAAAAGCACCCCGGGAGGGGAGUGAAAGAGAACCUGAAACCGUAUGCUUACAAGCAGUCAGAGCACUAUUUGGUGGUGUGUGGUUAGUGGUUAGUGGUUGGGAUGACGGGUCUGACUUAAGGGUCAGAAAAAACCUGUAAGGAAUACCCAAGAAACUAACGACUAAUUACUAACCACACACCACCCAAGUGUGAUGGCGUACUUUUUGUAGAACGGACCGGCGAGUUGCAUGCAGCGGGCGAGGUUAAGCGUGGGAUACGCGGAGCCGCAGCGAAAGCGAGUCUUAAGAGGGCGACAGAGUUCGUUGCAGCAGACCCGAAACCGGGUGAUCUACCCAUGUCCAGAGUGAAGCUGAAGUAAAGUUUAGUGGAGGCUCGAACCGACCGUCGUUAAAAAGGCGGCGGAUGAGGUGUGGGUAGGGGUGAAAUGCCAAUCGAACCCGGAGAUAGCUGGUUCUCCCCGAAAUAGCUUUAGGGCUAGCCUUGGGAGUUGAAUACCGGAGGUAGAGCACUGAAUGGGCUAGGGGCCUUCACCGGUUACCGAACCCAAUCAAACUCCGAAUGCCGGAUAUUUGAUCCCGGGAGUCAGACUGCGGGUGCUAAGAUUCGCAGUCGAGAGGGAAACAGCCCGGACCGUCGGCUAAGGUCCCCAAGACAGGCUAAGUGGAGAAGGAUGUGGAGUUGCACGGACAACCAGGAUGUUGGCUUAGAAGCAGCCAUCAUUUAAAGAGUGCGUAAUAGCUCACUGGUCAAGUGGCGCUGCGCCGAAAAUGUAGCGGGGCUGAAGCCUGUCACCGAAGCCGCGGAAUUUAGUCGUCGGUCGUCAGACGUCAGACGUCAGGAGGGAAACAAUGAUAGGGUAUAAGAAACUUGAUGUAUACCAGAGGUCGUAUGAAAUGGCCAAGGAAAUACAUCAAACAACCCAAAGUUUCCCGAGUAUAGAAAGGCAUGAACCAGGAAGUCAGCUGAGACGUGCAGCCGUAUCAAUAACACUCAACAUAGCGGAAGGGUACGGCAGGAAAGAUAGUACAGGAGAGUUUCAGCACUUUUUAAGGAAUGCUUUAGGUUCUUGUAACGAGGUAAGAGUUUUACUGGAAAUGUGCAAAGACCUUGGAUAUAUUGAAGAAAAUGCAUACCAGGGAUUCGAUGAGCAGUACCAGAUCAUGGGAAAACAACUUUACCGGUUACGAGAAGCCAACAGAUCCUGACGACUGCUGCCUGACGACUGACGACUGAGUUGGUAGGGGAGCGUUGUAUGCGCGGCGAAGCUAUACCGUGAGGAGUGGUGGAGCGCAUACAAGAGAGAAUGCCGGUAUAAGUAAGCGAGAAGGCAGGUGAGAAUCCUGCCCGCCGGAAGCCUGAGGUUUUCUGGGGAAGGCUCGUCCGCCCAGAGUAAGCCGGGGCCUAAGCCGAGGCAGAGAUGCGUAGGUGAUGGACAAUCGGUUGACAAUCCGAUGCCACAUGCAGCCGUUUGAAGGAUGGGGUGACACAGGAGGGCAGGUUGAGCGCGCGGGUGGAAAAGCGCGUCCAAGGCCGUAGGGUGGCGUGCAGGCAAAACCGCACGCUGGAAAGCCCGAGAGCUGAAGGGGAGUGAAAACAAGUAACGAAGCGACCGGACCCAUACUGUCAAGAAAAACCUCUAACGAGGCUGCAGGUGCCCGUACCGCAAACCGACACAGGUAGGCGAGGAGAGAAUCCUAAGGCGCGCGAGAGAACCCUCGUUAAGGAACUCGGCAAAAUGACCCCGUAACUUCGGGAGAAGGGGUACCCCGUUAGCGUGAAGGUUGAACGAUUGGAGCGCGAGGGGGUCGCAGAGAAGAGGCCCAAGCGACUGUUUACCAAAAACACAGGUCCCUGCCAAAUUGGAAGAUGAAGUAUAGGGGCUGACGCCUGCCCGGUGCCGGAAGGUUAAGGGGAGAGGUUAGGGGUAACCCGAAGCUUUGAACCGAAGCCCCGGUAAACGGCGGCCGUAACUAUAACGGUCCUAAGGUAGCGAAAUUCCUUGUCGGGUAAGUUCC
rnacentral:rRNA from 1 species